AUGUCGGGGCCGGAGGGGAGAACCGAGGCGCCGCUGGCGACCGAACCGGUGGUUUUGUGUUACCUCAGACCCGGUCCCCCGGGCGGACGGGGGGAGGUUCGGCCCCACCCUCCGGGCAGGCGGCGAGGCGAAGGCGGCGGCGGCGAGAUGCCGUAUGAUCCUCUCCAGGGUCCAUCUACACCGCUGUGACUGUCAGUGCUCCUGCUCCUUCGUCACAAGGAGUGACCAGGGGAUGACCCGGUUCACAGAAACCACUGUGGGAUUGUGCAUUCCCGGUGCAGAGGAAGCUCACCGCCUGGAUCUGGCUGCACGAGCCAACUGACCAGACCCAUGUGUUUGCAGAGCUGUAGAUUCCAACUGGUCCCAACUCCCGUGAUGUCACUGUUACUGAAAGCCAAGGAAAGUCGUUCAACUUCAACCGCCGACUGUGGUCCAUCUCUUCCCUCUGUCAGCGGUUCCCAGGUAGGAAUCUGCACACCUCAUCUGAUAAAUGUGUUUUAUCUCUGGGGGGCCAAUUUCCCCAGUGUUCAUUCGGCCCUGUCUAGCAUGUCCUCAUACUAGCCCUGAAGCUGCCUCUUUUGUCCCCAUCCCCAGAGAACUUACCAUCUCCCACCCAUCAAUGGUUCCUUGGUGCAUCCUCCCCUGCCUUCCACAUCUCCUGCCAACGCUCAGCCCGCAGAACAUGUCAAGGAAGCUUCCCUUCUCUGGCCCUUCCCAAAUCCUUGCCCACCUCCCCGUGGCUUCCUCCUGAAGCUCUCCUAACAUCGCUGAAACAGCUCCGAGUCGUGGACCGGGAAGCUAAUGUUGUUCCUUUAUUUAAGUCACCUCUCUUGGGUGUUCAGUCUGGUUCCGUUCAAACUACAAGCGUGGAGAGAGGCCUCUGCGAUUCCCGGCCCUAUGAUGGAGAAGGUAAUAAAAGUAGUUCUAUAAAACUCUGGUUAGACCACACUUGGUCGCCUCAUUAUAGGAAGGAUGUGGAAGCGUUGGAAAGGGUGCAGAGGAGAUUUACCAGGAUGCUGCCUGGUUUAGAGAGUAUGGAUUAUGAGGAGAGACUAAGGGAGCUAGGGCUUUACUCUUUGGAGGAUGAGAGGAGACAUGAUGGAGGUGUACAAAAUAUUGAGAGGAAUAGAUAGAGUAGACAGCUAGCGCCUCUUUCCAAGGGCACCAAUGCUCAAUACAAGAGGGCGUGGCUUUAAAGUAAUGGGUGGAAAGUUCAAGGUGAUAUCAGAGGAAGGUUUUUUUACCCAGAGGGUGGUUGGUGCAUGGAAUGCGCUGCCUGGGGCAGUGGUGGAGGCAGGUACGUUGGUCAAAUUCAAGAGAUUACUGGAUAAGCAUAUGGAGGAAUUUAAAAUGAGGGAUAUGUGGGAGGAAGUGGUGAGAUAGUCUUCGGCGAGGUUUAAAGGUCAGCACAACAUUGUGGGCCGAAUGGCCUGUAUUGUGCUGUACUGUUCUAUGUUCUAUUUUCUUUAUUUCACAUUGUUAGCUCUCGGGGGAAUGUUGGUUGUAGUAUUGCCCAUCCUCGAAGAUACAGUCAUACACACAGAAACAGGCCCUUCAGUCCAACUCAUCCAUGCUGACCAAGAGGUCUAUCUGAGCUACUCCCAUUUGCCCGCGUUUGGCCCAUAUCCCUCGAAACCUUUCCUAUCCGUGUACCUGUCCAAAAUCGUUCUAAACAUUGUCAUUCUACCUGCCUCUGCAGCUUCCCCUGGCAGCUCAUUCCACACACCCACCACCCUCUGUGUGAAAAACUUGCCCCUCAGGUCCCCUUUGAAUCUUUCCCCUCUCACCUUAAACCUGUGCCCUCCAGUUUUGUACUCCCCUACCCUGGGAAAAUGUCUGUGACCACCCACCUUAUCUAUGCCCCUAAUGAUUUUGUAAACCUCCAUAAGGUCACCCCUCAGCCUCCUCAACUCAAGGGAAAAUAGUCCCAGCCUAUCCAGGCUCUCCUUACAACUCAAGCCCUCCACUCCCCGUAGCAUCCUCAAACCUUUUUACAGCACCUUUUCCCUGCACCCUUUCCAGCUUAAUGAUACCCUUACUGUAGCUGCGCAACCAGAACUGCACACAACAUUCCCAAGUACGGUCUCACCAAU